GGUUAAGCGACUAAGCGUACACGGUGGAUGCCCUGGCAGUCAGAGGCGAUGAAGGACGUGCUAAUCUGCGAAAAGCGUCGGUAAGGUGAUAUGAACCGUUAUAACCGGCGAUGUCCGAAUGGGGAAACCCAGUGCAAUUCGUUGCACUAUCGUUAACUGAAUACAUAGGUUAACGAGGCGAACCGGGGGAACUGAAACAUCUAAGUACCCCGAGGAAAAGAAAUCAACCGAGAUUCCCCCAGUAGCGGCGAGCGAACGGGGAGCAGCCCAGAGUCUGAAUCAGCUUGUGUGUUAGUGGAACGGUCUGGAAAGUCCGACGGUACAGGGUGAUAGUCCCGUACACCAAAAUGCACAGGUUGUGAACUCGAAGAGUAGGGCGGGACACGUGGUAUCCUGUCUGAAUAUGGGGGGACCAUCCUCCAAGGCUAAAUACUCCUGACUGACCGAUAGUGAACCAGUACCGUGAGGGAAAGGCGAAAAGAACCCCGGCGAGGGGAGUGAAAAAGAACCUGAAACCGUGUACGUACAAGCAGUGGGAGCACCUUCGGGUGUGACUGCGUACCUUUUGUAUAAUGGGUCAGCGACUUAUAUUCUGUAGCAAGGUUAACCGUAUAGGGGAGCCGCAGGGAAACCGAGUCUUAACUGGGCGUUAAGUUGCAGGGUAUAGACCCGAAACCCGGUGAUCUAGCCAUGGGCAGGUUGAAGGUUGGGUAACACUAACUGGAGGACCGAACCGACUAAUGUUGAAAAAUUAGCGGAUGACUUGUGGCUGGGGGUGAAAGGCCAAUCAAACCGGGAGAUAGCUGGUUCUCCCCGAAAGCUAUUUAGGUAGCGCCUCGUGAAUUCAUCUUCGGGGGUAGAGCACUGUUUCGGCUAGGGGGUCAUCCCGACUUACCAACCCGAUGCAAACUACGAAUACCGAAGAAUGUUAUCACGGGAGACACACGGCGGGUGCUAACGUCCGUCGUGAAGAGGGAAACAACCCAGACCGCCAGCUAAGGUCCCAAAGUCAUGGUUAAGUGGGAAACGAUGUGGGAAGGCACAGACAGCCAGGAUGUUGGCUUAGAAGCAGCCAUCAUUUAAAGAAAGCGUAAUAGCUCACUGGUCGAGUCGGCCUGCGCGGAAGAUGUAACGGGGCUAAACCAUGCACCGAAGCUGCGGCAGCGACACUAUGUGUUGUUGGGUAGGGGAGCGUUCUGUAAGCCUGCGAAGGUGACCUGUGAGGGUUGCUGGAGGUAUCAGAAGUGCGAAUGCUGACAUAAGUAACGAUAAAGCGGGUGAAAAGCCCGCUCGCCGGAAGACCAAGGGUUCCUGUCCAACGUUAAUCGGGGCAGGGUGAGUCGACCCCUAAGGCGAGGCCGAAAGGCGUAGUCGAUGGGAAACAGGUUAAUAUUCCUGUACUUGGUGUUACUGCGAAGGGGGGACGGAGAAGGCUAUGUUAGCCGGGCGACGGUUGUCCCGGUUUAAGCAUGUAGGCUGGUUGUCCAGGCAAAUCCGGAUAAUCAAGGCUGAGGUGUGAUGACGAGGCACUACGGUGCUGAAGUAACAAAUGCCCUGCUUCCAGGAAAAGCCUCUAAGCAUCAGGUAACAUCAAAUCGUACCCCAAACCGACACAGGUGGUCAGGUAGAGAAUACCAAGGCGCUUGAGAGAACUCGGGUGAAGGAACUAGGCAAAAUGGUGCCGUAACUUCGGGAGAAGGCACGCUGGUGUGUAGGUGAAGUCCCUGCGGAUGGAGCUGAGACCAGUCGAAGAUACCAGCUGGCUGCAACUGUUUAUUAAAAACACAGCACUGUGCAAACACGAAAGUGGACGUAUACGGUGUGACGCCUGCCCGGUGCCGGAAGGUUAAUUGAUGGGGUUAUCCGUAAGGAGAAGCUCUUGAUCGAAGCCCCGGUAAACGGCGGCCGUAACUAUAACGGUCCUAAGGUAGCGAAAUUCCUUGUCGGGUAAGUUCCGACCUGCACGAAUGGCGUAAUGAUGGCCAGGCUGUCUCCACCCGAGACUCAGUGAAAUUGAACUCGCUGUGAAGAUGCAGUGUACCCGCGGCAAGACGGAAAGACCCCGUGAACCUUUACUAUAGCUUGACACUGAACAUUGAGCCUUGAUGUGUAGGAUAGGUGGGAGGCUUUGAAGCGUGGACGCCAGUCUGCGUGGAGCCAACCUUGAAAUACCACCCUUUAAUGUUUGAUGUUCUAACGUUGGCCCCUGACCGGGGUUGCGGACAGUGUCUGGUGGGUAGUUUGACUGGGGCGGUCUCCUCCCAAAGCGUAACGGAGGAGCACGAAGGUUAGCUAAUCCUGGUCGGACAUCAGGAGGUUAGUGCAAUGGCAUAAGCUAGCUUGACUGCGAGCGUGACGGCGCGAGCAGGUGCGAAAGCAGGUCAUAGUGAUCCGGUGGUUCUGAAUGGAAGGGCCAUCGCUCAACGGAUAAAAGGUACUCCGGGGAUAACAGGCUGAUACCGCCCAAGAGUUCAUAUCGACGGCGGUGUUUGGCACCUCGAUGUCGGCUCAUCACAUCCUGGGGCUGAAGUAGGUCCCAAGGGUAUGGCUGUUCGCCAUUUAAAGUGGUACGCGAGCUGGGUUUAGAACGUCGUGAGACAGUUCGGUCCCUAUCUGCCGUGGGCGCUGGAGAAUUGAGGGGGGCUGCUCCUAGUACGAGAGGACCGGAGUGGACGCAUCACUGGUGUUCGGGUUGUCAUGCCAAUGGCACUGCCCGGUAGCUAAAUGCGGAAGAGAUAAGUGCUGAAAGCAUCUAAGCACGAAACUUGCCCCGAGAUGAGUUCUCCCUGAGACUUUAAGUCUCCUGAAGGAACGUUGAAGACGACGACGUUGAUAGGCCGGGUGUGUAAGCGCAGCGAUGCGUUGAGCUAACCGGUACUAAUGAACCGUGAGGCUUAACCUU
rnacentral:rRNA from 1 species